AUGAUCUGUUCAACAGGUGAACCAGGAGAACCCAAUACUCUUGAAGAGGCUCUUGGUGAUGCACAUUGGAGAAAGGCAAUGCAUGAUGAAAUUGUGGCACUAAGGAAAAAUAAAACAUGGCACUUGGUUCCUCCAAGACAAGGUAAAAAUCUUAUUGACUGUAAGUGGGUCUUUAGGAUAAAAAGAAAAGCUGAUGGAACUAUUGACCGUUACAAAGCUAGACUCGUUGCAAAGGGUUUUAAACAAAGGUAUGGUAUUGACUAUGAGGACACGUUUAGUCCAGUUGUCAAAGCAGCUACCAUACGCCUUGUCUUGUCCAUUGCUGUGUCUAGGGGAUGGAGUCUACGAGAGCUAGACGUUCAGAACGCGUUCCUCCAUGGUGUUCUGGAAUAA
rnacentral:rRNA from 1 species